AACGCACGAGACCUGCGGACCUGCGGAAGGAUCAUUAUAAAAAGUUUUUUUAUACCCUUUUAAUUUUAAGAGAGGUAUAUAAAAUUUUUUCAACCCUUUGUUUUUUUUUAGACUUUGUUGCUUUGGUAGGUUUUUUAAAACCUGCCAAAGGAAAUUUUAAAAAUUCUUGAAAUUUUUGUUUGUCCGAGUUUAUAAAAAAAAUUUUUAUAAAACUUUUAACAACGGAUCUCUAGAUCGGAA
rnacentral:misc_RNA from 1 species